UGGGGAAUAUUGCACAAUGGGCGCAAGCCUGAUGCAGCCAUGCCGCGUGUAUGAAGAAGGCCUUCGGGUUGUAAAGUACUUUCAGCGAGGAGGAAGGCGGUAAGGUUAAUAACCUUAUCGAUUGACGUUACUCGCAGAAGAAGCACCGGCUAACUCCGUGCCAGCAGCCGCGGUAAUACGGAGGGUGCAAGCCUUAAUCGGAAUUACUGGGCGUAAAGCGCACGCAGGCGGUCUGUCAAGUCGGAUGUGAAAUCCCCGGGCUCAACCUGGGAACUGCAUUCGAAACUGGCAGGCUAGAGUCUUGUAGAGGGGGGUAGAAUUCCAGGUGUAGCGGUGAAAUGCGUAGAGAUCUGGAGGAAUACCGGUGGCGAAGGCGGCCCCCUGGACAAAGACUGACGCUCAGGUGCGAAAGCGUGGGGAGCAAACA
rnacentral:rRNA from 1 species